rnacentral:tRNA from 1 species
CGGGGAUUAGUUCAUCGGCAGAACGCUCGCUUUGGGAGCGAGAUGUACUAGGUUCAAUUCCUAGAUCUCCGACCA